rnacentral:rRNA from 1 species
AGUGAACGCUGGCGGCAGGCCUAACACAUGCAAGUCGAACGGCAGCCCAGUAAGAGCUUGCUCUUACGGGUGGCGAGUGGCGGACGGGUGAGGAAUAUAUCGGAAUCUACUUUUUCGUGGGGGGUAACGUAGGGAAACUUACGCUAAUACCGCAUACGACCUACGGGUGAAAGCAGGGGAGCUUCGGACCUUGCGCGAUUGAAUGAGUCGAUGUCGGAUUAGCUAGUUGGCGGGGUAAAGGCCAACCAAGGCGACGAUCCGUAGCUGGUCUGAGAGGAUGACCAGCCACACUGGAACUGAGACACGGUCCAGACUCCUACGGGAGGCAGCAGUGGGGAAUAUUGGACAAUGGGCGCAAGCCUGAUCCAGCCAUACCGCGUGGGUGAAGAAGGCCUUCGGGUUGUAAAGCCCUUUUGUUGGGAAAGAAGAGCAGCAGGUUAAUACCCCGCUGUUCUGACGGUACCCAAAGAAUAAGCACCGGCUAACUUCGUG